rnacentral:rRNA from 1 species
AUCCUGGCUCAGGAUGAACGCUGGCGGCGUGCUUAACACAUGCAAGUCGAACGGGGAUUAUUUUGACAGAGACUUCGGUUGAAGUUGUUAUAAUCCUAGUGGCGGACGGGUGAGUAACGCGUGGGUAACCUGCCUCACACUGGGGGAUAACAGUCAGAAAUGACUGCUAAUACCGCAUAAGCGCACGGGAUCGCAUGAUCCAGUGUGAAAAACUCCGGUGGUGUGAGAUGGACCCGCGUUGG